AGCUACAGCCCUAUCACCCUGCAGCCCAAGACUAGUUACACACUGAAGCUAAGCAUGGCUGAGCCUGGUCAGUACCCUGGAUUGGAGACCACAUGGGAAAACUAGGAGGCUGUUGGAA
rnacentral:rRNA from 1 species